GUAUGCCUCAAAACAGAAAGAAAGAAAGAAAACAAAAGAACUUCGAAGUUAAGCAUGCUUGGGUGAGAGUAGUACUAGGAUGGGUGACCUUYUGGGAAGUCCUCGUGUUGCAUGCC
rnacentral:rRNA from 1 species